rnacentral:rRNA from 1 species
GACGAACGCUGGCGGCGUGCCUAAUACAUGCAAGUCGAGCGGACGGAUGGGAGCUUGCUCCCAGACCGUCCGCGGCGGACGGGUGAGUAACACGUGGGCAACCUGCCUGUAAGGCUGGGAUAACUCCGGGAAACCGGGGCUAAUACCGGAUAACUCUUUCCCUCCCCUGAGGGCAAGCUGAAAGAUGGCAUCUCGCUAUCACUUACAGAUGGGCCCGCGUUGCAUUAGCUAGUUGGUGAGGUAACGGCUCACCAAGGCGACGAUGCGUAGCCGACCUGAGAGUGUGAUCGGCUACACUGGGACUGAGACACGGCCCAGACUCCUACGGGAGGCAGCAGUAGGGAAUCCUCCGCAACGGACGCAAGACCGACGGAGCAACGCCGCGUGAGUGAUGAAGGUCUUCGGAUCGUAAAACCCUGUUGUCAGGGAAGAAAAAGUCUCGGAGUAACCGCCGGUAACGUGACGGUACCGGAGUAGAAAGCCACGGCUAACGACGUG